rnacentral:rRNA from 1 species
UACAGAAGGGGCAAGCGUUGUCCGGAGUUACUGGGCGUAAAGGGUCCGCAGGCGGUUUGACAAGUGUCGUGUGAAAGCCCCGUGCUUAACACGGGGAGGCCACGGCAGACUGUCAGACUCGAGUGAUGCAGAGGGUGGUGGAAUUGCCGGUGUAGUGGUGAAAUGCGUAGAGAUCCGGAGGAACACCAGCGGCGAAGGCGGCAUCCUGGACUGGUCCUGACACUCAGGAGCGAAAGCGUGGGGAGCGAACAGG